GACGAACGCUGGCGGCGUGCCUAAUACAUGCAAGUCGAACGCAGUGGGGACGGGGGAGUAACACGUGGGUAACCUCCCAUCAGAGGGGAUAACACUUGGAAACAGGUGCUAAACCGAUACUGAUGGAUGGACUCGCGGUGCAUUCGCUAGUUGGUGAGGUAACGGCUCACCAAGGCCACGAUGCAUAGACGACCUGAGAGAGUGAUCGGCGCCACUGGUACUGAGACACGGCCCCGACUACUACGGUAGGCAGCAGUAGGGGAUUUUCGGACAUGGACGAAAGUCUGACCGAGCCACGCCGCGUGAGUGAAGAAGGUUUUCGGAUCGUAAAACUCUGUUGUUAGAGAAGCGGUAUCUAACCAGAAAGCCACGGCUAACUACGUGCCAGCCGCCGCGGUAAUUC
rnacentral:rRNA from 1 species